CGGGGUGCAGCAGGCGCGAAAACUCUACAAUGCAGGCAACUGCGAUAGGGGAACAUCGAGUGAUACUCAUCUUGGGUGUCUGUCCUCCCGUCUAAAAAACGGGAGUUAGCAAGGGCCGGGCAAGACCGGUGCCAGCCGCCGCGGUAAUACCGGCGGCUCGAGUGGUGGCCGAUAUUAUUGAGUCUAAAGGGUCCGUAGCCGGCUUUGCAAGUCUUUUGGGAAAUCCAGCGGCUUAACCGUUGGUCGUCCGGGAGAUACUACAUUGCUUGGGACUGGGAGAGGUAGGAGGUACUCAGGGGGUAGGAGUGAAAUCCUGUAAUCCUUUGGGGACCACCGGUGGCGAAGGCGUCCUACCAGAACAGGUCCGACGGUGAGGGACGAAAGCUAGGGGCACGAACCGGAUUAGAUACCCGGGUAGUCCUAGCCGUAAACGAUGCUCGCUAGGUGUCACAACAAUCGUGAAUUGUUGUGGUGCCGUAGGGAAGCCGUGAAGCGAGCCACUUGGGAAGUACGACCGCAAGGUUGAAACUUAAAGGAAUUGGCGGGGGAGCACAAGGGCGAAUCGC
rnacentral:rRNA from 1 species